rnacentral:rRNA from 1 species
GCUGGCGGCGUGCCUAAUACAUGCAAGUCGAGCGGACUUGAUGGAGUGCUUGCACUCCUGAAGGUUAGCGGCGGACGGGUGAGUAACACGUAGGCAACCUGCCCUCAAGACUGGGAUAACUACCGGAAACGGUAGCUAAUACCGGAUAAUUUAUUUCACAGCAUUGUGGAAUAAUGAAAGACGGAGCAAUCUGUCACUUGGGGAUGGGCCUGCGGCGCAUUAGCUAGUUGGUGGGGUAACGGCCCACCAAGGCGACGAUGCGUAGCCGACCUGAGAGGGUGAACGGCCACACUGGGACUGAGACACGGCCCAGACUCCUACGGGAGGCAGCAGUAGGGAAUCUUCCGCAAUGGGCGAAAGCCUGACGGAGCAACGCCGCGUGAGUGAUGAAGGUUUUCGGAUCGUAAAGCUCUGUUGCCAAGGAAGAACGUCUUCUAGAGUAACUGCUAGGAGAGUGACGGUACUUGAGAAGAAAGCCCCGGCUAACUACGUGCCAGCAGCCGCGGUAAUACGUAGGGGGCAAGCGUUGUCCGGAAUUAUUGGGCGUAAAGCGCGCGCAGGCGGUUCUUUAAGUCUGGUGUUUAAACCCGAGGCUCAACUUCGGGUCGCACUGGAAACUGGGGGACUUGAGUGCAGAAGAGGAGAGUGGAAUUCCACGU